rnacentral:rRNA from 1 species
GACGAACGCUGGCGGCGUGCUUAACACAUGCAAGUCGAACGAAGUGGCGAACGGGUGAGUAACGCGUAAUCAACCUGCCCUUCAGAGGGGGACAACAGUUGGAAACGACUGCUAAUCCCGCAUACUGAAUGAGGGGUUUGCGUCUGAUUAGCUAGUUGGAGGGGUAACGGCCCACCAAGGCGAUGAUCCGUAGCCGGUCUGAGAGGAUGAACGGCCAAAAGGGGACUGAGACAAGGCCCAGGAGCCUACGGGAGGCAGCAGUGGGGAAUCGUCCGAAAUGGAAGAAAGUCGGAAGGAGCAACGCCGCGGGAGAGAUGACGGCCUUCGGGUUGUAAAGCUCUGUUAAUCGGGACGCGGUACCGGAAUAGAAAGCAACGGCUAACUACGUGCCAGCAGCCGCGGUAAUAC